CGUCGCCUGCGCGACGAUGCGCGCGAGGCGGAUCGCCUUGUCGGACUCUUCCGGCGACAGGCGUUCGUGCGCCUGGCGACGA
rnacentral:tRNA from 3 species